AANCUUGGUUCACCUGGAACUGCAUUGUACAAGAAAGAAGUCCUCAAGCAUCCUGUUGUUGUUACUACAGCAGAAAAAUUGGGUAAAACUCCUGCUCAGGUUGCUCUUCGAUGGGGCUUGCAGAUGGGCCAUAGUGUAAUUCCCAAGAGCACACAUGAAUCAAGGAUCAAAGAGAACUUUGAUGUUUUCAAUUGGUCCAUACCUGAUGACUUGUUUGCUAAGUUCUCCGAAAUUGAGCAGGCAAGUUAUUUUCAUUUUCAUUAAAUUCCUUGAGAUUUUAUGGGUAUAUUUCUUCUAAUGGGCAUACGAGUAAUGCAAUAAUUUAUUUUGCAAAUAGUUAGAUAUUAGAGACAGUAUUAAUUAGCAAUUUUUUUAUUCGUCCCCAUCACAUGAAUCCCCUACAGUUUUUGCCAUUAAAUAUAUGUACUACAACUAAUAAGUCAUAUUUGCAAGGCAUGCUUAGUAGGCAAUAUAAGACCGCAGUGGACGCUAGAAAAGAUAUAUUUUAAUUCAAUUACUAAACAUGCCAAAGUGUAUGCUGCAUCACCAACAAUUGAGGUUCUGAUGUAAAAAUUGCCCAGAUAGCUGACAUUUAGAUCCAUUUUUUUGCUCAAAAUUUUAUUUUGAUAACUAAGGCAUUUUCUUUCUACAUCUCAUAAGAAAUGCUUUUUCUACUUGCAGGAAAGACAGAUUACAGGUAACUUUUUUGUCCAUGAGACGUUCGGCUCAUACAGAACCGUUGAAGAUAUAUGGGAUGGUGAGCUUUGAUCUUGCUGUUUGAUGAUAAAAAUUUGGGACGGAUUGGCUAAUAAAUAUUACUGUCAUAGUCUAUUUACAAUAUUAUGAACUCCAAAUAAAUUUGCUGGAUGCUCUGGCAUGGUUUCUAGUUAUCGUGUGUAAUUUCAUACUGGAAGUUGUCAUGCUUCUUUCGAAACUUUGAAGCUUGUCUUGAUGUUUACGGAGUUUGAAGUUUGAACUAUUUUGUGAAUUUUCAUUCAUUCUAUGGUGCCAAAGCUUAAGCAAUGUUUUUUUUUUUUUUUUUUUUUUUUCAAUUCAUUAUUGAUGAAUAGCAUUCCUUGUGCUAAAGAAAACUUAUAUAGAGACGCGUACAC
rnacentral:lncRNA from 1 species